rnacentral:rRNA from 1 species
GCUAAACGCGAAGAACCUUACCUACUCUUGACAUCCAGAGAACUUAGCAGAGAUGCUUUGGUGCCUUCGGGAACUCUGAGACAGGUGCUGCAUGGCUGUCGUCAGCUCGUGUUGUGAAAUGUUGGGUUAAGUCCCGCAACGAGCGCAACCCUUAUCCUUUGUUGCCAGCGGUUAGGCCGGGAACUCAAAGGAGACUGCCAGUGAUAAACUGGAGGAAGGUGGGGAUGACGUCAAGUCAUCAUGGCCCUUACGAGUAGGGCUACACACGUGCUACAAUGGCGCAUACAAAGAGAAGCGACCUCGCGAGAGCAAGCGGACCUCAUAAAGUGCGUCGUAGUCCGGAUUGGAGUCUGCAACUCGACUCCAUGAAGUCGGAAUCGCUAGUAAUCGUAGAUCAGAAUGCUACGGUGAAUACGUUCCCGGGUCUUGUACACACCG